rnacentral:rRNA from 1 species
AAUGAACGCUGGCGGCAUGCCUAACACAUGCAAGUCGAACGAAGGCUUCGGCCUUAGUGGCGCACGGGUGCGUCACGCGUGGGAAUCUGCCCUUGGGUUCGGAAUAACAGUUAGAAAUGACUGCUAAUACCGGAUGAUGUCGUAAGACCAAAGAUUUAUCGCCCAAGGAUGAGCCCGCGUAGGAUUAGCUAGUUGGUGGGGUAAAGGCCCACCAAGGCGACGAUCCUUAGCUGGUCUGAGAGGAUGAUCAGCCACACUGGGACUGAGGCACGGCCCAGACUCCUACGGGAGGCAGCAGUGGGGAAUAUUGGACAAUGGGCGAAAGCCUGAUCCAGCAAUGCCGCGUGAGUGAUGAAGGCCUUAGGGUUGUAAAGCUCUUUUACCCGGGAUGAUAAUGACAGUACCGGGAGAAUAAGCUCCGGCUAACUUCGUGCCAGCCGCCGCCGUAA